rnacentral:rRNA from 1 species
ACGCUCGACACCUACGGAAGGCAGCAGUGGGGAAUAUUGGGCAAUGGGCGCAAGCCUGACCCAGCAACGCCGCGUGAAGGAAGAAGGCUUUCGGGUUGUAAACUUCUUUUCUCAGGGACGAAGGAAGUGACGGUACCUGAGGAACAAGCCACGGCUAACUACGUGCCAGCACGCCGGACGGUAAUCUGAGGCGGGGCGUGGACGAACGGCC